GAUGAACGCUGGCGGCGUGCUUAACACAUGCAAGUCGAACGAUGAAGCCCAGCUUGCUGGGUGGAUUAGUGGCGAACGGGUGAGUAACACGUGAGUAACCUGCCCUUGACUCUGGGAUAAGCCUGGGAAACUGGGUCUAAUACUGGAUAUGACUUCUCAUCGCAUGGUGGGGGGUGGAAAGAUUUAUUGGUCUUGGAUGGACUCGCGGCCUAUCAGCUUGUUGGUGAGGUAAUGGCUCACCAAGGCGACGACGGGUAGCCGGCCUGAGAGGGUGACCGGCCACCGUGGGAUGGAGCACCGGCCCAACUCCCUACGGGGGGCAGAGGGGGGGAAAUUGGCAAAAGGGGCCAAACCUGAAUGCAGGGACCCCGGGGGGGGAAAGACGCCCUUCGGGUUGAAAACCUUUUUCAGUAGGGAAGAAGCGGGAGUGACGGUACCGGGAAAAGAAGCCCCGGCAAACUACUG
rnacentral:rRNA from 1 species